rnacentral:rRNA from 1 species
AUUGAACGCUGGCGGCAGGCCUAACACAUGCAAGUCGAGCGAGCGGCGGACGGGUGAGUAAUGUAUGGGGACUGCCCGUUAGAGGGGGAUAACUACUGGAAACGGUAGCUAAUAACGCAUACUAUCGGAUAACCCAUAUGGGAUUAGCUAGUAGGUGGGGUAAUGGCUCACCUAGGCGACGAUCCCUAGCUGGUCUGAGAGGAUGAUCAGCCACACUGGAAAUGAGACACGGCCCAGACUCCUACGGAGGCAGCAGUGGGGAAUAUUGCACAAUGGGCGAAAGCCUGAUGCAGCCAUGCCGCGUGUAUGAAGAAGGCCCUAGGGUUGUAAAGUACUUUCAGUCGGGAGGCGUUACCGACAGAAGAAGCACCGGCUAACUCCGUGCCAGCAGCCGCGGUAAUAC